rnacentral:lncRNA from 1 species
AUUGCCCCUCAGCAGCAGCCUGCAGCGCCUCCUGCUCAGGCUCAGGCACCUGCACCAAAUGUGACUCAAGCCCCUCAGCAACCUCCUUAUUACAUGCCUCCCACCCCUCUGCAGAAUCCACCUGUGCCCCAGCUUCCCCAGAACCAGUAUUUGCCUUCUGAUCAACAAUAUCGAACUCCCCAACUUGCCCCACAACCAACACCAUCUCAAGUAACACCGUCCCCACCUGUGCAACAAUUUUCUCACUAUCAACAGCAACAGCCACAACCUCAACAACAACAUCAGCAGCUCCAGCAGCAACAACAGUGGUCACAGCAGGUGCCAUCACCUCAGCCACCCUCAAUGCAAUCUCAAACAAGACCCCCCUCUCCAGCUAUGUACCCUCCAUACCAGCCG